CACAAUAAACAUAGAUGUUUCAGAUCUGUUCAUUCCCAGCACAACAGUUGCAUCGUUCUGAACCCAACAAACAGGAAAUAAAGAAGAAAAUGUGAAGUACCCAAUGAGGUCAGUGUCAGUGAAUGGCUUAGACUGGAAGAAGCGAGGGGGCACUGGUGGAGCUGCAGAACUGGUGCCGUUGUUCAGACUGGGGAUGCUCAGAUUCAACAGCAGCAUGGAUCCUGCAAGAAUCAUUUCUUUGUAAUAUUUUGAGAAGUAUUUACAUCAUUGGUUGUAAGGAGUGAUGGUCAAUAGGUUAGGCCAUUAGAACGUUAACGCUAAGUUUGUGUUAGAAAAUAAAAUUAAUGCAGGUUCAAA